AUUGAACGCUGGCGGAAUGCUUUACACAUGCAAGUCGAGCGGCAGCGCGGGGGCAACCCUGGCGGCGAGCGGCGAACGGGUGAGUAACACAUCGGAACGUACCCUGUCGUGGGGGAUAACGGAUCGAAAGAUUCGCUAAUACCGCAUACGGCCUGAGGGUGAAAGCGGGGGAUCGCAAGACCUCGCGCGAGAGGAGCGGCCGAUGUCGGAUUAGCUAGUUGGUGAGGUAAAGGCUCACCAAGGCGACGAUCCGUAGCUGGUCUGAGAGGAUGAUCAGCCACACUGGGACUGGGACACGGCCCAGACUCCUACGGGAGGCAGCAGUGGGGAAUUUUGGACAAUGGGCGCAAGCCUGAUCCAGCCAUUCCGCGUGAGUGAAGAAGGCCUUCGGGUUGUAAAGCUCUUUCGGCAGGAACGAAACGGUGGGGGCUAAUACCUCUUAUCAAUGACGGUACCUGAAGAAGAAGCACCGGCUAACUACGUGCCAGCCGCCGCAGUAA
rnacentral:rRNA from 1 species